AGAAGAGAUGAAAGAGGGCAGACAAAAAGACGAGGAGGAGAAACGAGAGGGGAACGCAAGACGAAACGGCAAAAGCAGAAAGAUCCAGAGACCAGAGUGAAGAUGUAGCCGAAAAUGAGAGAGAGAGAAAAAAAGAAAAAGAAGACAUUUGAAGACAGAAGAGCAAUGACUUCCCCUGAAAGGAAAAUGGACAGACUGUGGAGUCGAAGGGAAAGUGGAUGGAACACUAAACGGGGCGAUCAUAGAAGAAAACACAUCAGAGCUGCAAAAGACUGGAAGUUCUGCCAUCCAGCAGGCCAACGACCCAAACAGAAGACCAGUUCCACCUCACAACUCUGGGCUACUUACUGUUGAUCUGCCACAUAAAAUCAAAAAUCAAACAUGUCCAACUCUGUGGUUGUAACCUCACAGAAUGUGGAAAAGGAUAUGAUGUCUUUCAUAAGGCACUUGGGUCUGGACCGCUAAAUCUAACAUCACCAUCGUCUGCUACAUUUCCUUUCCCGGAGCCAUUUACAAGUCAUUUGUCCUCUGGGCGUUGCAUCUCUUCAGCCUGGCUAUCAGUGCUGCACAAAGAAGUAACAUUUACUACGAGUCAGAUCGUAUUCUCAUCAUGAUUCCAGCUGAGCCUCAUCACAUGUUCAUCUGUUGUCUUCAAACUGGAAUCAAUUAGGUGACAAGGCAGGUUGGCAUGGUGACCACAAAGCAAUCAGAGGGCAGUGACAAUUACAUCUAUAAAAACACAAUAGGCAUAAUUCAUACAGUAAUUUGAUAAGUGCUUACAAUGUAUACUGUGUAAUUGAUUAGAGUGGUUUGUUUAAGUCUUCUGUCCGUAUACUUUAAAUAAGAAUGCCUAUUCUGUGAAUUAAAGAAGAGAAGAAUCA